CACCCGGGGUGGCAGGCGCUUCAAGGCGCCGCCGGAUUGGAACAGGGGCUGGCGAGUACACGCCGGGGAAGCGCAGGGGCCGAAUGUCGGGGGACGUUCGGCCCCUUUUUU
rnacentral:antisense_RNA from 1 species